rnacentral:lncRNA from 1 species
UGGCGGAGGAGGAGGUGGAGGAAUUGAGCGUACAUGACUGAAAGGAGGAGGUGGAGGUGGUGGUGGGGAUCCAUAACUCAGUGGAGGAGGCGGCGGUGGGGGUGGAGAUCCAUAACUCGGUGGAGGAGGGGGAGGUGGGGGUGGAGAUCCAUAACUUGGUGGAGGAGGGGGAGGGGGAGGCACUGAAUAUGCAUUACUAAAAGGAGGAGGUGGAGGUGGUGGUGGAGCUGUUUUACUAGGUGGAAGAGGUGGAGAUCCAUAACUUGGUGGAGAAGGGGGAGGGGGAGGUACUGAAUAUGCAUUACUAAAAGGUGGAGGUGAUGGUGGAGCUGUUUUACUAGGUGGAAGAGGUGGAGAUGGAGAAGUGGAAAAACCAUUAAUAGGAAGGAUCUUGAGUGCUGGUGUAGGUGCAACACUCGUAUAAGGCAGAGGAGG